UGGGCUCUAUGACCAGCACCCUUAUUUAAGGCAUGUAGUAGUAUUUCCCUCUUGGGUACCUACAGUGAUGCUCAGGAUGAAGAUCGAUUCAAGUUACAGAACUUGGCUGGGGUACAGGGCUGUCCUGGACUUGAACGAACUGGUCUGGAUAAAGAAAAAAUAACUCCAAAACCUCUGUGUCCUGGUCUAGUUUAAAAUUCUUCUCACUUUUCUAAUUAUGCAGCUGAAGCUGCUCUUUUAAGCACCUUGGGUUGAGUUGUAACAUAGCUGGCCAGUCACAAGGCCUUUGGAUAGGUGUUUUUCAAUCCAAGGGCCUGAGUAUGGCUCCCUGGUGAAGAAGUCUCUUUAACCCAGCUGGAUGAGUCCUUGAAAGGACAAAUGAAUCAGCAGCUGCCCUGUGUGCACCCCUGCUCCACCUGCCCAGCUGGCAGAGAGGGGAUACUGGGAAAAAGGUUUGGAAGAGGAGGAAGAUCACCUCAGGUCCCAGGACCUGCACAUUGGUGCAGUGUAGAGCUGAACUCAGCUAAGAACCAAACAACUCGCAAUACUCUGUGCUGUUCCUGAAGCAGACAUGCGUGCUAAAUAUUCUUUCUGUUAAAUGAGAAGAGUGUUGUGGCGUGAGAAAGCUACAAAAUGCCUAUUGCCCAUGGGAAAAUGAGUAAUAAUUCAUUCUGCUGAUAUGUUACGGUUGAGCCUCUCUACCCCCAAACUGUAAUUAUGUGUUCCCGCGGAUUCUCUUUUGCCAUCUCUGAUAUUUCUCUAGCCAAGCUGUGAACUGAUUCAGGAAACUACAAUGACAGAAAAUUAAAGCAGAAAAAUGAA